GUCUAUGGCCAUGCCACCCUAAAGAAGCCCGAUGUCUGAUCUCGGAAGCUAGGCGGGGUUGAGCCUGGUUAGUACUUGGCUGGGAGACCACCUAGGAAGACCAGCUGCUGUAGGCA
rnacentral:rRNA from 1 species